CGCGUAGGCGGGACUAUAAGUUAGGUGUGAAAUCUCCGGGCUCAACCCGGAAGCUGCACUUAAAACUGUAGUUCUUGAGUGAUGGAGAGGCAGGCGGAAUUCCCGGUGUAGCGGUGGAAUGCGUAGAUAUCGGGAGGAACACCAGUGGCGAAGGCGGCCUGCUGGACAUUAACUGACGCUGAGGCGCGAAAGCGUGGGGAGCAAACAGGAUUAGAUACCCUGGUAGUCCACGCUGUAAACGAUGGAUACUAGGUGUGGGGGGACUAACCCCUCCCGUGCCGCAGUUAACACAAUAAGUAUCCCACCUGGGGAGUACGGCCGCAAGGUUGAA
rnacentral:rRNA from 1 species